CCAGCUGCUGUGCCAGCACUGGAGCUCAGAGUGAAUGAAUCUGGCUAAGUCCAUGUGUGGGCACUUUAAGAGAAA